CGUAGGGUGCAAGCGUUAAUCGGAAUUACUGGGCGUAAAGCGUGCGCAGGCGGUUUUGUAAGACAGGCGUGAAAUCCCCGGGCUUAACCUGGGAAUGGCGCUUGUGACUGCAAAGCUGGAGUGCGGCAGAGGGGGAUGGAAUUCCGCGUGUAGCAGUGAAAUGCGUAGAUAUGCGGAGGAACACCGAUGGCGAAGGCAAUCCCCUGGGCCUGCACUGACGCUCAUGCACGAAAGCGUGGGGAGCAAACAGGA
rnacentral:rRNA from 1 species